CUACGGGGCGCAGCAGUGAGGAAUUUUGCGCAAUGGGGGAAACCCUGACGCAGCAACGCCGCGUGAGUGAUGAAGGCCUUCGGGUCGUAAAACUCUGUCAAGUGGGAAGAACCUAUGUAAGGUUAAUACCCUUAUGUACUGACGGUACCACUGAAGGAAGCACCGGCUAACUCCGUGCCAGCAGCCGCGGUAAUACGGAGGGUGCAAGCGUUAUUCGGAAUUAUUGGGCGUAAAGGGCGCGCAGGCGGUUUUGUAAGUCAGAUGUGAAAGCCCGGGGCUUAACCUCGGAAGUGCAUUUGAUACUGCAAGAAUUGAGUAUGGGAGGGGGAAGUGGAAUUCCUGGUGUAGAGGUGAAAUUCGUAGAUAUUAGGAGGAACACCAGUGGCGAAGGCGACUUCCUGGACCAAUACUGACGCUGAGGCGCGAAGGCGUGGGGAGCAAACAGGAUUAGAUACCCCGGUAGUC
rnacentral:rRNA from 1 species